GUUGUCAGAAUGACAGGACCCCUGAUUGUUGCCCGACAUACGCCUGAAUGUAAAUGCGAGUAAUUGACGUGAUAAUUUUCAUCAUGUGUCAGAGAACCCGCUGAAAUGUACGCACAGAGUUUACAUUAAACACCAGUAAAGCAGAAACACAGCGGAGAACUUUACAGUGUUUCCUGCAGAGAUGCCAGUGGGAUCAUGCCCUCUUUGCCUCCGCAUGUAUGCGAGGCUUAGCCAGCAUUUGGUGGUGAUGCACCACGUUAAAAAUAAGGAGGAAAGAAAGCUUUUGCUUUCGCUGGAGUCUGGACGUGUGAACGUGCGUGAGGUCCGCUGUCCCGUGCCAGGCUGCGGGAAACAAACGAGUCGUUUGGAUCGGCACAUUCAAACCCACAGCAACCUUUCCAUGAUGGCCAGGAUGGAUGCGGUGUUGAGCUGCAAGCGUAAAAAGGUCUUAUCGCAGCUGAGUGCACUGAGGGCAUCUAACCCUAAGGUACUCAUGGUCUCCAGUCUCGAUUUGGAGGAAGACCCCAAGUCGGAAGACCCCAAGUCGGAAGACCCCAAGUCGGAAGACCUUUCGAUGCCUUUGGAAGAAGAGGAAAGGGAAGAGGAGCAGUGUCAAUGCUGCGUGUAAGCCCCAGACAGAUCAGCUGAAAUCACAGAUUUCUGACCUGAAUCUCCAGCUGGACACGCUGACAGAAGCCCUUCAAAAUGUCACCCGCCGGUACCUCCAGCUGAAGAGGCAGUCAGCUGCCAUGGGUUCGACAAGAAUUAAGCAGGAAACCCAUGGACUCCUCUCGUCUCUCUGGCCGGAGGAAGAAAGUGACGAAACUUCUGCCCCUGCAAGACCCCUGAACGAGCCUCCCAGCGAACCGCCCUCCCCUCAUGAGGAGCCCUCUGUCAGCCAGGGGAUGAGAGUAAACCUCAUUUCCUCAAAUCAUGCUGUGCUUCUGAGUGGAUCUCAUCUCUCCACAAAGCACAGAUGAAAGAGCCGACUCUACCACUGCAUUCAAAAUGUAGCCCAAUUUAUGGACUACAUUGCCAAAACACUGCCGCCUUUCCAAACCUGUUCUAGUUGGGCUUUGGUGUUUUCUAGUAUUUUUUCAGUAUUAUUUCAGUAAAUCCCAUUACUUCAGUGUUUUUUUUUUUUUUUUACCAUUUGUUCAAUAUUAAGAAUGUUUUGUUUUAAUUAAUCUUUAAUUGUUUGUCUGAUUUGGUGUUCUAUUAAAAUGCUUGCAUGGU